UUUGAUUUUAAAGUAGGUCCUAAAAUUAUGUGACUUGGACCCAACUUCUCCGUAGCAGCACUGCCUCCCGGGCGCCAUGAUUCUGAAGGGCAUCAGGGUUGGCAAGUGGAAGGAGGAGGCAGCUAAAAUUCCCACACAUCUGGGGCAAACAGAUACUGUACUCCAAUUUCCUGUCGGCGCCGCCGGUUUCUCGCGGAAUUACUUGCUAAGUAAAUGAUUGUUAUAAGA